rnacentral:rRNA from 1 species
GUUGGCACUAUGAUAAAUACAUGGUACUUUAUGGGUUCCGGUGAGGAUGAGUUGCGAGUAAAUUUUAUAAUUAAAUAUUGUGGUGUUUCUCAAAAAUUUGGCAUGAUAUAUAAUAGAUAAAGCUAAAUUUAAAGUCACUUUUACACCAGUAUUGAAGAAUGGAUAAUAAACUUAGGUUUGAUUCUGUAAUUAGUGUGGAAGGCCUGGUAAAGCUUGUGCCAGCAACCGCGGUUAGACAAGCGUGGUCAAGGUAAGAUAUGGCGGUAAUAAAGAGGGUUAGGGGUAGAAAAAGUUAUGAUAAAUAAAGAGAUAAAUGCUUACUGUUGGGGUGUAAUCUUUGCAGGUGUAUUAAAUCCGUAGCUAUUUAAUUCUUUAGUCCCUGAAACUUAGGUUAAAGACCGGGAUUAGAUACCCCGUUAUUCUAAGCGUAAAAAUUUAGUUUCACUAUMCCGUUAUUCUAAGCGUAAAAAUUUAGUUUCACUAUACCGGAGUACUACGAGCUUAGGCUUAAUGCAUAAUUUAGUGAAAAGUGAGUUUGACUUACUAUUGUAGGUAGGCUUAAUUUAAUGUUAUGUGUUGGGACUGUAAUGCUUAAAACUUAAAAAACUUGGCGGUGCCUCAAAUCUUUCUAGGGGAACCUGUCCCGUAAUCGAUGAUCCGCGUGUUACCUUACUUUGUUUUGAAAAUUAUAACAGCCUGUAUACCGUCGUCGUCAGGCUACUCUUAAGGGUUAUUUGGUUUAGUAGGCUAAUGGAGAAUUAUAAAGAAUAUUAAUGGUUCUGAAAGUCAGAUCAAGGUGCAGCUAAUGGCAAAGUGGAGAUGUGUUACAAUGGUGAUUUACUGUGCGGAUAGAUUUUUUAAAAGAAAUCUUGAAGUUGGACUUAGGAGUAAUUUUUAGGAGUAGUGAGCUAAGGUGAAUGAAGCUCUGAGGUGUGUACAAAUCGCCCGUCGCUCUCGCUGAGAAGUGAGAUAAGUCGUAACAUAGUGGGGGUACCGGAAGGUGCCCCGG